GGAGGAGUGCAGUAAAGAGGCAGUUAAAUCAUUUAUACAGGGCAGUUCUUCCGGGUCUUUGUGUACCAUUGGCCAAUUAUCUGGUUUCUUUUUCCACACUUGACCUGCCUUAGGACCCUCCCCAACGUGUGUGCGCAACUUUUUUUCCAAGAUGGGUUACAGCCCAGAGGCCUACGGGAUGGCCUUAGCAUCACAUAUUAUGGGGUGGUGCCCCCUCCUUUCUGACCCCCCAAGGAGCCUUUCUGUGCAUGUGCAAUACUUCCCUAGCCCCAGGGGUGGGAAAUGUAUGACCUCUUGAUCUUUUAACAGGGUUUAGUCCCACUCUGUUCCUGCCAUAAAAAUGUCCAAUGUCUGACAGAGGCAGAGAACA